CCUACGGGGGGCAGCAGUGAGGAAUAUUGGUCAAUGGGCGCGAGCCUGAACCAGCCAAGUCGCGUGAGGGAAGACGGUCCUAUGGGUUGUAAACCUCUUUUGUCGGGGAGCAAGAUACGCCACGUGUGGCGUUCCGAGAGUACCCGAAGAAAAAGCAUCGGCUAACUCCGUGCCAGCAGCCGCGGUAAUACGGAGGAUGCGAGCGUUAUCCGGAUUUAUUGGGUUUAAAGGGGGCGUAGGCCGGGGGUUAAGCGUGCGGUGAAAUUUUGGGGCUCAACCACGGGAGGGCGGCGCGAACUGGGGACCUGGAGUGCGCGGAGGGUAGGCGGAAUUCGUGGUGUAGCGGUGAAAUGCUUAGAUAUCACGCAGAACUCCGAUUGCGAAGGCAGCCUGCCGGAGCGUGACUGACGCUGAAGCUCGAAAGCGUGGGUAUCGAACAGGAUUAGAUACCCGUGUAGUC
rnacentral:rRNA from 1 species